CGAGUUAUCUGAACCUUCGGGGAACGAUAACGGCGUCGAGCGGCGGACGGGUGAGUAAUGCCUAGGAAAUUGCCCUGAUGUGGGGGAUAACCAUUGGAAACGAUGGCUAAUACCGCAUGAUGCCUACGGGCCAAAGAGGGGGACCUUCGGGCCUCUCGCGUCAGGAUAUGCCUAGGUGGGAUUAGCUAGUUGGUGAGGUAAGGGCUCACCAAGGCGACGAUCCCUAGCUGGUCUGAGAGGAUGAUCAGCCACACUGGAACUGAGACACGGUCCAGACUCCUACGGGAGGCAGCAGUGGGGAAUAUUGCACAAUGGGCGCAAGCCUGAUGCAGCCAUGCCGCGUGUGUGAAGAAGGCCUUCGGGUUGUAAAGCACUUUCAGUCGUGAGGAAGGUAGUGUAGUUAAUAGCUGCAUUAUUUGACGUUAGCGACAGAAGAAGCACCGGCUAACUCCGUGCCAGCAGCCGCGGUAAUACGGAGGGUGCGAGCGUUAAUCGGAAUUACUGGGCGUAAAGCGCAUGCAGGUGGUUUGUUAAGUCAGAUGUGAAAGCCCGGGGCUCAACCUCGGAAUAGCAUUUGAAACUGGCAGACUAGAGUACUGUAGA
rnacentral:rRNA from 1 species